GUCCAUGCCGUAAACGAUGAUUACUAGGUGUGGGAGGAUUGACCCCUUCCGUGCCGCAGUUAACACAAUAAGUAAUCCACCUGGGGAGUACGACCGCAAGGUUGAAACUCAAAGGAAUUGACGGGGGCCCGCACAAGCAGUGGAGUAUGUGGUUUAAUUCGACGCAACGCGAAGAACCUUACCAAGUCUUGACAUCCGUUGACCGACAUAGAAAUAUGUUUUUCCUUCGGGACAGCGAGACAGGUGGUGCAUGGUUGUCGU
rnacentral:rRNA from 1 species